rnacentral:rRNA from 1 species
GUCGANCGGUAAGGCCCUUCGGGGUACACGAGCGGCGAACGGGUGAGUAACACGUGGGUAAUCUGCCCUGCACUCUGGGAUAAGCCCGGGAAACUGGGUCUAAUACCGGAUAUGACCACUUCACGCAUGUGUUGUGGUGGAAAGUUCCGGCGGUGCAGGAUGAACCCGCGGCCUAUCAGCUUGUUGGUGGGGUAAUGGCCUACCAAGGCGACGACGGGUAGCCGGCCUGAGAGGGCGACCGGCCACACUGGGACUGAGACACGGCCCAGACUCCUACGGGAGGCAGCAGUGGGGAAUAUUGCACAAUGGGCGAAAGCCUGAUGCAGCGACGCCGCGUGAGGGAUGACGGCCUUCGGGUUGUAAACCUCUUUCAGCAGGGACGAAGCGCAAGUGACGGUACCUGCAGAAGAAGCACCGGCUAACUACGUGCCAGCAGCCGCGGUAAUACGUAGGGUGCGAGCGUUGUCCGGAAUUAUUGGGCGUAAAGAGCUCGUAGGCGGUUUGUUGCGUCGGCCGUGAAAACCUGGGGCUUAACCCUGGGCCUGCGGUCGAUACGGGCAGACUUGAGUUCGGUAGGGGAGACUGGAAUUCCUGGUGUAGCGGUGAAAUGCGCAGAUAUCAGGAGGAACACCGGUGGCGAANGCGGGUCUCUGGGCCGAUACUGACGCUGANGAGCGAAAGCGUGGGGAGCGAACAGGAUUAGAUACCCUGGUAGUCCACGCCGUNNCGGUGGGUGCUAGGUGUGGGGAACAUUCCACGUUCUCCGUGCCGUANCUAACGCAUUAAGCACCCCGCCUGGGGAGUACNGCCGCAAGGCUAAAACUCAAAGGAAUUGANGGGGGCCCGCACAAGCGGCGGANCAUGUGGNUUAAUUCGAUGCNACGCNAANAACCUUACCUAGNCUUGACAUGGGNCUGGNAACCCGUA